GAGUAACACGUGGGUAACUGCCUCAGAGAGGGGAAUAGCCUUCCGAAAGGAAGAUUAAUACCGCAUAAUAUACGCAUUUAGCAUUAUGAGCGUAUCAAAGGAGAAAUCCGCUUUGAGAUGGGCCCGCGGCGCAUUAGCUAGUUGGAGAGGUAACGGCUCACCAAGGCGACGAUGCGUAGCCGACCUGAGAGGGUGAUCGGCCACAUUGGAACUGAGACACGGUCCAUACUCCUACGGGAGGCAGCAGUGGGGAAUAUUGCACAAUGGGGGAAACCCUGAUGCAGCAACGCCGCGUGAAUGAUGAAGGCCUUCGGGUCGUAAAGUUCUUUGAUUGGGGACGAUAAUGACGGUACCCAAAAAACAAGCCACGGCUAACUAC
rnacentral:rRNA from 2 species